UACGGAGGGGGCUAGCGUUGUUCGGAAUUACUGGGCGUAAAGCGCACGUAGGCGGCUUUGUAGGUUAGAGGUGAAAGCCCGGGGCUCAACUCCGGAAUUGCCUUUAAGACUGCAUCGCUGGAAUUGUGGAGAGGUAAGUGGAAUUCCGAGUGUAGAGGUGAAAUUCGUAGAUAUUCGGAAGAACACCAGUGGCGAAGGCGACUUACUGGACACAUAUUGACGCUGAGGUGCGAAAGCGUGGGGAGCAAACAGG
rnacentral:rRNA from 1 species